rnacentral:lncRNA from 1 species
UCCAUCCAGGGGUGGUAUCUUUAACUGGUGGAGAUGCACAAGGUAAUGUAUCAAUUUCACUUGAAGCUUACUUGUAGUUUCAGGCUUGGUCAAGCGCGAUACAAACCAUGUAGUAGGAGUCCCCUAAGUCGCCGAGCUAGGGGGUCUGCUGAAAGAGGUGACAGACAAGGUAAGCAAUCAGAGCUCCGACUGAUUGUUCACCUUCUCCCCAUCUUGCAACAGCAUGAAGGAUAAAGAGAAG